rnacentral:snRNA from 1 species
GGAUGUGAGGGCGAUCUGGCUGCGACAUCUGUCAUCCCAUUGAUUGCCAGGGUUGAUUCUGCUGAUCUGGCUGGCUAGGCGGGUGUCCCCUUCCUCCCUCACCGCUCCAUGUGCGUCCCUCCUGCCUCUCUCUACGCCUCAAGACGGGUCACAGCACAGUUACAA